UACGAAGGGGGCUAGCGUUGCUCGGAAUUACUGGGCGUAAAGAGUGUGUAGGCGGUGCUCUAAGUUCGGUGUGAAAUCUCCUGGCUCAACUGGGAGGGUGCGCCGGAAACUGGAGUGCUUGAGCGUGGGAGAGGAAAGCGGAAUUCCUGGUGUAGCGGUGAAAUGCGUAGAUAUCAGGAGGAACACCUGUGGUGUAGACGGCUUUCUGGACCAUAGCUGACGCUGAGACACGAAAGCGUGGGUAGCAAACAGG
rnacentral:rRNA from 1 species